CCUACGGGUGGCAGCAGUGGGGAAUAUUGGACAAUGGGCGAAAGCCUGAUCCAGCCAUGCCGCGUGUGUGAAGAAGGCCUUCGGGUUGUAAAGCACUUUCAGUGGGGAAGAAAGCCUUGGGGCUAAUACCCUCGAGGAAGGACAUCACCCACAGAAGAAGCACCGGCUAACUCCGUGCCAGCAGCCGCGGUAAUACGGAGGGUGCGAGCGUUAAUCGGAAUUACUGGGCGUAAAGCGCGCGUAGGCGGUCUGAUAAGCCGGUUGUGAAAGCCCCGGGCUCAACCUGGGAACAGCAUCCGGAACUGUCAGGCUAGAGUGCAGGAGAGGAAGGUAGAAUUCCCGGUGUAGCGGUGAAAUGCGUAGAGAUCGGGAGGAAUACCAGUGGCGAAGGCGGCCUUCUGGACUGACACUGACGCUGAGGUGCGAAAGCGUGGGUAGCAAACAGGAUUAGAUACCCUAGUAGUC
rnacentral:rRNA from 1 species